rnacentral:SRP_RNA from 1 species
UGAGGAAAUCGGAUAAACCAGGCCCGGAAGUGAGCACCCUUUUCGAGGACGACAGGCCGUCGUGUGGGGGCUGGGCGUAGUGCCGCACGGACAG